CAUAUUUUUCCCCAUAGCACUUAUAUCAAGACCAUGUUUUGGCUGCCAUAUAUUUUUAAUAGUAGCCAUAAAUGCGUUGACAUUUAUAUGUCUCCCAGUCCAGAUUUUCCCUACCAAUCCCAAUUCAACCCUAUCGUCCUCCGCUUCGGUCUCCCCCUCCACCCAAUCAAUUGCGUCCUCCUUGUCGUCCUCCAGUGAUAUUGCUCUUUUUAAAGAAGAAUUAUCCAUUAUUUCCCCCGUCCGAUGUUUCUCAACCGUAAUAUUACCCUCCUUACUUCCCACUAAUGGUUGUGAGGCCAUUAGCGAAACCACCAAUCUCAAGGAGAAACCUUGAGAUAAUCCUCCAGACGAGGAAAAAACUAGCGCCGCCGGCUAGGCUAUACCCUCCCAAGGAAACCUAGAGGGAACUUUUUUUUUUUUUUUUUUUUUUUUUUUUUUUUUUUACCCUUUUAACUUGUAAGAUAUGAAAUUAUACAUUCGAGUACAAGCAAUCUAAUUCCUCUUUGCUCUCUCUCCUCUCUCCUAUUUCGAUUACUGUCUUCUUUCUUCAAGCUCCAUUAAUGGAGUUCAAUACAUGAGAACGAAAUUUUGGCUCCAGGCGAAACUUUUGCUGAGAUUCUUUACUCAAAAUUCUCUGUUUUUGUUCAAUUAAUAUCCGAAUUUCCUCAAUUUGUUUUUUGAUUUCUAACACUCUCUACCGACUACAAUUCUCCUCAAAUCUUCUUUUCAUCUUUUGUAAUCAACAAAAUGUUGAUUAAUUCUUCUGUAAUUGUUAAAAUCUUGAUUGAACUCGUCGUUCUUCAAUCGAAAUUUUCUGACCUAAAUUUGCGAUUUUCAUCUUUCUUUAGGUGAAUUAUUGCUCGUGCUGGAUGAAUUGCCGAAGUCAGAGGAGAUCUAUUUCAAAUUCAAUUGACUUUCAGUUCUUAUUCAUUAACAAGGUACAUUUGAUCUAUCCUGAGGAUUGUGAUGUCUGUAACCAUUUCCUCAGGUUUUGGAUUCACUGUUAGUUGUGGAGUAGGGAUUUGCUAGCAUUGCAUCUUAGCCAUGUAACACAGACUAACUUAAUCUUUCUAAUGGGAAACACUUAAUUUAGGGCCUGUUUGGUAUUAUUGUGGUUUUCUGUUUUUUGGUUUUUCGAUUUUCAAAGUCAUAUGAUACAAGUCCUAUAAUGAAUAAAAAAUUAGUCAAUUUAUUGGGAA